rnacentral:rRNA from 1 species
UACGGGGGGGGCAAGCGUUGUUCGGAAUUACUGGGCGUAAAGGGCUCGUAGGCGGCCAACUAAGUCAGACGUGAAAUCCCCAGGCUCAACCCGGGAACUGCGUCUGAUACUGGAUGGCUUGAAUCCGGGAGAGGGAUGCAGAAUUCCAGGUGUAGCGGUGAAAUGCGUAGAUAUCUGGAGGAAUACCGGUGGCGAAGGCGGCAUCCUGGACCGGCAUUGACGCUGAGGAGCGAAAGCUAGGGGAGCAAACGGG